rnacentral:rRNA from 1 species
AUUGAACGCUGGCGGCAGGCCUAACACAUGCAAGUCGAACGAAGCCUUCGGGCUUAGUGGCGCACGGGUGCGUAACGCGUGGGAAUCUGCCCUUGGGUUCGGAAUAACAGUUAGAAAUGACUGCUAAUACCGGAUGAUGACGUAAGUCCAAAGAUUUAUCGCCCAAGGAUGAGCCCGCGUAGGAUUAGCUAGUUGGUGAGGUAAAAGCUCACCAAGGCGACGAUCCUUAGCUGGUCUGAGAGGAUGAUCAGCCACACUGGGACUGAGGCACGGCCCAGACUCCUACGGGAGGCAGCAGUGGGGAAUAUUGGACAAUGGGCGAAAGCCUGAUCCAGCAAUGCCGCGUGAGUGAUGAAGGCCUUAGGGUUGUAAAGCUCUUUUACCCGGGAUGAUGAUGACAGUACCGGGAGAAUAAGCUCCGGCUAACUCCGUGCCAGCAGCCGCGGUAACAC